rnacentral:rRNA from 1 species
CCUACGGGAGGCAGCAGUGAGGAAUAUUGGUCAAUGGACGGAAGCCUGAACCAGCCAAGUAGCGUGCAGGAUGACGGCCCUACGGGUUGUAAACUUCUUUUAUACGGGAAUAACGUUCAUUACGUGUAGGGCUUUGCAUGUACCAUAUGAAUAAGGACCGGCUAAUUCCGUGCCAGCAGCCGCGGUAAUACGGACGGUCCGGGCGUUAACCGGAUUUAUUGGGUUUAAAGGGAGCGUAGGCGGCAGGUGAAGCGUGAUGUGAAAGGUUGCGGCUCAACCCGGACCUUGCAGUGCGAACUGGGUGUCUUGAGUCCGCGAGAGGCAGGCGGAAUUCGUGGUGUAGCAGUGAAAUGCUUAGAUAUGAUGAAGAACCCCGAUUGCGAAGGCAGCUUGCUGGACCGUAACUGAUGCUGAUGCUCGAAAGUGCGGGUAUCGAACAGGAUUAGAUACCCGGGUAGUC